GGACUACUCGGGUUUCUAAUCCUGUUUGAUCCCCACGCUUUCGUGCCUCAGCGUCAAUAACGGCUUAGUAGACUGCCUUCGCAAUUGGUGUUCUGUGACAUAUCUAAGCAUUUCACCGCUACAUGUCACGUUCCAUCUACCUCAACCGUAUUCGAGACGAAUAGUAUCAAUGGCAUUUCUCCCGUUAAGCGGGAGGCUUUCACCACUGACUUAAACGUCCGCCUACGCACCCUUUAAACCCAGUAAAUCCGGAUAACGCUUGCACCCUCCGUAUUACCGCGGCUGCUGGCAC
rnacentral:rRNA from 1 species